GGUCUUGUGGUGCAGUGGUUAGCACAUCUGGUCAAUAUCAGCAACUGUUUAAUCCAGCCACACUGAAUGCGUUCGGGAGGCAUAACGCUACCGAGCGAUGGUGGAAGCUCGAUAGCAUGUCGCGGUCGCACGCGAGCUGCGACUUCGGUCCAGCACUUACCACCAGUUGUUUACCUCUCUGUCUUUCGACAGUAUGUAUCCAGAAGACCUACGUUCAAAUCGUAGCAAGACCA